rnacentral:sRNA from 1 species
GUUCAAACUUUCAACAAGCUCUUCUCAUCGUCUUCAAAAUGACCCUCUCGGUAAGCUUCAAAUUCCGAUGUAGAAAAUCCAAAAUAAUCUCAAAUUCAGAAUAAUGACAACAACAGAAAGCAAUAAUUGUAAAACCGUGAUUUUUCAAUGUUGGCAAAUUCCCUUCAAAAUAGCGGAGGGAACUUAGUCAAAAUUGAAAAAGAGACAUUUUUAUAAUUUGGCGAUUUUUUUCUGAAUUUGAGACUACUUUAGAUUUUUUGAAGCAAAAUGUUGAUAUUUUCCCAAUAAAAUCUCACUAAGUCUUUUCAAUUUUCAGUUCGACGACGCUGCUGCCACCGUUAAGACCCUCAAGACUUCCCCAUCGAAUGAUGAGCUUCUCAAGCUCUAUGCUCUG